rnacentral:rRNA from 1 species
AAAGGAAUUGACGGGGGCCCGCACAAGCGGUGGAGCAUGUGGUUUAAUUCGAUGCUACGCGAAAAACCUUACCUAGGCUUGACAUCCCGUGCUACCCUAUGAAAGUAGGGGUUUUCUUCGGAAACUCGGAGACAGGUGCUGCAUGGCUGUCGUCAGCUCGUGUUGUGAGAUGUUGGGUUAAGUCCCGCAACGAGCGCAACCCUUGCCACUAGUUACCAUCAUUAAGUUGGGGACUCUAGUGGGACCGCUUGACUAUAAGUCAGAGGAAGGUGGGGAUGACGUCAAGUCCUCAUGGCCUUUAUGCCUAGGGCCACACACGUGCUACAAUGGGAGGCACAAUGCGCUGCAAGCUUGCAAAAGUUAGCUAAUCGCAAAAAACCUCUCUCAGUUCGGAUUGAAGUCUGCAACUCGACUUCAUGAAGCUGGAAUCGCUAGUAAUCGUGGAUCAGAACGCCACGGUGAAUACGUUCCCGGGCCUUGUACACACCGCCCGU